CGGCGGGGACACAAGCAUUGAGACCAGAGAGAAGGCCAUGUCUGAUUUUGUCAUAGGUACACCGACAUUAUCCAGAGUUUUGUCGAAGUCAUACGUGGAGGCUGGUCUUUUUGAUGAGAGGAUGGAGGUUUAUUGGUUCUCAGCACAACCGGGAAAUCAUCUCUUUUGGACUAUGGAGAGUUUUGAUUACUCCUUCCAAAUUAGUUUUUUCUUCCUCUGUUAGAACUUUUAAUCAGUACAGCUUGCCAGGCAUAAGGCAAGAUAUCCAGAAAAUGGAAGACUCCCUGGCUGCUCAAGGAUUCACUUUCCAGGGGACAUACUUCUUACUUCGUCCGAUGAAGGACAAUGGCAGAGGCAUGGAAAGAAGCCCACAAGGAGAUUGCUGUGCCCCCACUCUGUGUAAGGCAUUUCAUGAAGAAUGUUGGACUGGAUCCUGCAACACUCUUAGGAUGUUUCCAAGGGCUACCCAAAGGCUGAAGAGACUGAGAAAUCUGUACCUGAGAUACACUCCAGGAAAUGGUGGGUCUUUGAUUUCAGUUCAGUUCAGACUUUAUUUGCCCUUUGUAUUAUAGCUAGUUACUAUCUACUAGCACUCUCCUUGGCCUGGCUUCAAAAGGAGGCUUAAAUAAUUCUAAAUUAAUAAAACUAGCAUAAAUGAA